rnacentral:lncRNA from 1 species
AGACCUGAUAACACAAGGCUGGGGGAAGCUAGGGAGAGAGGGAGGUAGAGGACUAGGCAGAGACCUGAUAACACAAGGCUGGGGGAAGCUAGGGAGGGAGGGAGGGAGGUAGAGGAGGAGGCAGAGACCUGAUAACACAAGGCUGGGAUGAGCUAGGGAGGGAGGGAGGGAGGUAGAGGAGGAGGCAGAGACCUGAUAACACAAGGCUGGGGGAAGCUAGGGAGGGAGGGAGGUAGAGGAGGAGGCAGAGACCUGAUAACACAAGGCUGGGAUGAGCUAGGGAGGGAGGGAGGUAGAGGGGGAGGCAGAGACCUGAUAACACAAGGCUGGGGGAAGCUAGGGAGGGAGGGAGGUAGAGGAGGAGGCAGAGACCUGAUAACACAAGACUGGGGGAAGCUAGGGAGGGAGGGAG